rnacentral:rRNA from 1 species
AGUAACGCGUGAGGAACCUGCCUCAAAGAGGGGGACAACAGUUGGAAACGACUGCUAAUACCGCAUAAGCCCACGGCUCGGCAUCGAGCAGAGGGAAAAGGAGCAAUCCGCUUUGAGAUGGCCUCGCGUCCGAUUAGCUAGUUGGUGAGGUAAUGGCCCACCAAAGCGACGAUCAGUAGCCGACCUGAGAGGGUGACCGGCCACAUUGGGACUGAGACACGGCCCAA